rnacentral:tRNA from 1 species
UCGGGUAUGGUGUAACGGCUAACAUUGCCGCCUCUCAUGUUAUACGAGUGCUCGCGGCAGCUCGGGGUUCGAUUCCCCGUACCCGAA